rnacentral:rRNA from 1 species
UCGGGAAUUUUGGGCAAUGGGCGAAAGCCCGACCCAGCAACGCCGCGUGAAGGAUGAAGUAUUUCGGUAUGUAAACUUCGAAAGAAUAGGAAGAAUAAAUGACGGUACUAUUUAUAAGGUCCGGCUAACUACGUGCCAGCAGCCGCGGUAAUACGUAGGGACCAAGCGUUGUUCGGAUUUACUGGGCGUAAAGGGCGCGUAGGCGGCAAUUCAAGUCAUCUGUGAAAUCUCCGGGCUUAACUCGGAACGGUCAGAUGAUACUGCUUUGCUAGAGUGCAGAAGGGGCAAUCGGAAUUCUUGGUGUAGCGGUGAAAUGCGUAGAUAUCAAGAGGAACACCUGAGGUGAAGACGGGUUGCUGGGCUGACACUGACGCUGAGGCGCGAAAGCCAGGGGAGCAAACGGGAUUAGAUACCCCCGUAGUCCCUGAGCGGGCUGGCAAGGCGC